AUGACGUACUUGUACUGAUUGAGAUUUUAACACGAAGUGAGUGGCGAACGGGUGAGUAACACGUGGGUAACCUGCCCAGAAGUAGGGGAUAACACCUGGAAACAGAUGCUAAUACCGUAUAACAGAGAAAACCGCAUGGUUUUCUUUUAAAAGAUGGCUCUGCUAUCACUUCUGGAUGGACCCGCGGCGUAUUAGCUAGUUGGUGAGGUAAAGGCUCACCAAGGCAGUGAUACGUAGCCGACCUGAGAGGGUAAUCGGCCACAUUGGGACUGAGACACGGCCCAGACUCCUACGGGAGGCAGCAGUAGGGAAUCUUCCACAAUGGACGCAAGUCUGAUGGAGCAACGCCGCGUGAGUGAAGAAGGGUUUCGGCUCGUAAAGCUCUGUUGUUAAAGAAGAACGUGGGUAAGAGUAACUGUUUACCCAGUGACGGUAUUUAACCAGAAAGCCACGGCUAACUACGUGCCAGCAGCCGCGGUAAUACGUAGGUGGCAAGCGUUAUCCGGAUUUAUUGGGCGUAAAGCGAGCGCAGGCGGUCUUUUAAGUCUAAUGUGAAAGCCUUCGGCUCAACCGAAGAAGUGCAUUGGAAACUGGGAGACUUGAGUGCAGAAGAGGACAGUGGAACUCCAUGUGUAGCGGUGAAAUGCGUAGAUAUAUGGAAGAACACCAGUGGCGAAAGGCGGCUGUCUGGUCUGCAACUGACGCUGAGGCUCGAAAGCAUGGGUAGCGAACAGGAUUAGAUACCCUGGUAGUCCAUGCCGUAAACGAUGAUUACUAAGUGUUGGGAGGGGUUUCCGCCCCUUUCAGUGCUGC
rnacentral:rRNA from 1 species